ACUCAGUAUGUGUACCUGCUGUAAAUAUGGACAGACAGCAAUAUGUAGGCUUUAGGUGGGCAUGCAGUGAGUUCCGUGUUGCUCACAAAGGACCUACAAACAUAG